GACGAACGCUGGCGGCGUGCUUAACACAUGCAAGUCGAACGGUGAAGCGCCUUCCUUUUUGGUGGGUGUGGAUGAGUGGCGAACGGGUGAGUAACACGUGAGUAACCUGCCCCCUUCUUCGGGAUAACCGCAUGAAAGUGUGGCUAAUACGGGAUAUUCUGGGUCUGUCGCAUGAUGGGUCUGGGAAAGAUAUUGUUUCGGUGGGGGAUGGGCUCGCGGCCUAUCUGCUUGUUGGUGGGGUGAUGGCCUACCAAGGCGGUGACGGGUAGCCGGCCUGGGAGGGUGGACGGUCACACUGGGACUGCGACACGGCCCAGACUCCUACGGGAGGCAGCAGUGGAGAAUAUUGCACAAUGGGCGCAAGCCUGAUGCAGCGACGCCGCGUGAGGGAUGGAGGCCUUCGGGUUGUGAACCUCUUUCGCCAGUGAAGCAGGCCUGCCUCGUUUGUGGGUGGGUUGACGGUAGCUGGAUAAGAAGCGCCGGCUAACUACGUG
rnacentral:rRNA from 1 species